UACGACUGCCAUACCGGCAUCCCGGCGCGCCACGCUUGCACCGAAGUAUAUUGAUACUCGUUGAUGCUGUGUUGAUCAGUACUAUAGUAGGUACAAUACAUGUACAUGAACUCAUAUUAUACAGGCUAUAAAUGAAAUCGAUUGUUGACAUAAGGAUAAACCACACUAUAUUGUGAUUACUAUUAAUUAGUUAGUUCAUGCUUGAAAUCGAAUAUUCAAAGUUUUCCGUUAAAACCUCCAAAGAGACCAUAGCAGUGGGAAAACUAUUCGCAUUAUUUGCUAUCUCAGCAACCGUAGAAAUACCUUAAGCAACAUAAAAACUCAGUGUUUAAUUGCUC